rnacentral:rRNA from 1 species
UACGUAGGGUGCGAGCGUUGUCCGGAAUUACUGGGCAUAAAGCGCACGUAGGCGGAUUGUUAAGUCGGGGGUGAAAUCCUGGAGCUCAACUCCAGAACUGCCUUCGAAACUGGCGAUCUUGAGUCCGGGAGAGGUGAGUGGAACUGCGAGUGUAGAGGUGAAAUUCGUAGAUAUUCGCAAGAACACCAGUGGCGAAGGCGGCUCACUGGCCCGGUACUGACGCUGAGGUGCGAAAGCGUGGGGAGCAAACAGG